UUUAAUUGAAGAGUUUGAUCAUGGCUCAGAUUGAACGCUGGCGGCAGGCCUAACACAUGCAAGUCGAACGGUAACA
rnacentral:rRNA from 1 species